rnacentral:rRNA from 1 species
UAAGGAAGGCAGCAGGCGCGUAAAUUACCCAAUCCUGACUCAGGGAGGUAGUGACAAGAAAUAACGGACCGAAGCCUAUGUUUCGGGAUUGCAAUGAGUAGAAUUUAAACCCCUUUACGAGGAUCAAUUGGAGGGCAAGUCUGGUGCCAGCAGCCGCGGUAAUUCCAGCUCCAAUAGCGUAUAUUAAAGUUGUUGCAGUUAAAAAGCUCGUAGUUGGAUUUCUGGAAGAGUGACAAUGUCGUCUUGUUGACUGUGCAGCGUCGCUCUUCCAUCCUUCUGUUAACGUUUCGGGUAUUCAUUUACUCGUCUCGGGCUCAGAUAUUUUACCUUGAGAAAAUUAGAGUGUUCCAGGCAGGCUCGCGCCGGAAUACAUUAGCAUGGAAUAAUAGAAUAGGACUUUAGUCUCCUUUGUUGGUUUGAGGGACUGAAGUAAUGAUUAAUAGGGAUAGUUGGGGGCAUUAGUAUUUAAUUGUCAGAGGUGAAAUUCUCGGAUUUGUUAAAGACUAACUUAUGCGAAAGCAUUUGCCAAGGAUGUUUUCAUUAAUCAAGAACGAAAGUUAGGGGAUCAAAGACGAUCAGAUACCGUCCUAGUCUUAACCAUAAACUAUGCCGACUAGGGAUCGGAGGCGCGCUUUAUCCGCCUUCGGCACCUUAUGAGAAAUCAAAGUCUUUGGGUUCUGGGGGGAGUAUGGUCGCAAGGCUGAAACUUAAAGGAAUUGACGGAAGGGCACCACCAGGAGUGGAGCUUGCGGCUCAAUUUGACUCAACACGGGAAAACUUACCAGGUCCAGACAUAGUGAGGAU